CUGGACCCAGCAUCUGUUCUUUUGACUGAACACCAAAAACAUCUUGAGAAGGCCUCCUAAAGUCACUCUUGGCUGGUGUUUGGACAGGAAAUCUUUGUGGGGCAGAUGCAGGUUUACUGGGGCCAUGUUUCUUGGGAAUUGGAGGCAUCCUAGAGUCAGUCUUCUGAACUUUUGCCCUAGGCAUAAAGUCACCUGGGGUCCAAUCAUUUCUCUCGCUGGGACUCCACUGUGCUUCAGAAAA